rnacentral:pre_miRNA from 1 species
AGGCCGUGCCCGGUGCUUAUUUGUUACUUUUGGAAAUACAAAUUGCACUAGUCCCGGCCUGC